GCCAGGUGUGGUGGCACACACCUGUAAUCCCAGCAGCUCAGGAGGCUGAGGCAGGAGGAUCACAAGUUCAAAGCCAGCUUCAGCAAUUUAGUGAGGCCCUAAGCAACUUAGCAAGACCCUGUCUCAA
rnacentral:sRNA from 1 species